CGCGGCCUAUCAGCUUGUUGGUGAGGUAACGGCUCACCAAGGCAUUGACGGGUAGCUGGUCUGAGAGGACGAUCAGCCACACUGGGACUGAGACACGGCCCAGACUCCUACGGGAGGCAGCAGUAGGGAAUCUUGCGCAAUGGGCGAAAGCCUGACGCAGCAACGCCGCGUGGGGGAUGAAUGCCUUCGGGUUGUAAACCCCUUUCAGCAGGGACGAAAAUGACGGUACCUGCAGAAGAAGCUCCGGCCAACUACGUGCCAGCAGCCGCGGUAAUACGUAGGGAGCGAGCGUUGUCCGGAAUUAUUGGGCGUAAAGAGCUCGUAGGCGGUUCAGUAAGUCGGGUGUGAAAACUCAAGGCUCAACCUUGAGACGCCACUCGAUACUGCUGUGACUUGAGUCCGGUAGAGGAGUGUGGAAUUCCUGGUGUAGCGGUGAAAUGCGCAGAUAUCAGGAGGAACACCAGCGGCGAAGGCGGCACUCUGGGCCGGUACUGACGCUGAGGAGCGAAAGCAUGGGGAGCAAACAGGAUUAGAUACCCUGGUAGUCCAUGCCGUAAACGUUGGGCACUAGGUGUGGGGUCUUCUAACGGAUUCCGUGCCGUAGCUAACGCAUUAAGUGCCCCGCCUGGGGAGUACGG
rnacentral:rRNA from 1 species